UGCGCAGGCGGUUUUGUAAGUCUGAUGUGAAGUCCCCGGGCUCAACCUGGGAAUUGCAUUGGAGACUGCAAGGCUAGAAUCUGGCAGAGGGGGGUAGAAUUCCACGUGUAGCAGUGAAAUGCGUAGAUAUGUGGAGGAACACCGAUGGCGAAGGCAGCCCCCUGGGUCAAGAUUGACGCUCAUGCACGAAAGCGUGGGGAGCAAACAGGAUUAGAUACCCUGGUAGUCCACGCCCUAAACGAUGUCUACUAGUUGUCGGGUCUUAAUUGACUUGGUAACGCAGCUAACGCGUGAAGUAAACCGCCUGGGGAGUACGGUCGCAAGAUUAAA
rnacentral:rRNA from 1 species